rnacentral:tRNA from 1 species
GCAUCGGUGGUUCAGUGGUAGAAUGCUCGCAUGCCACGCGGGCAGCCCGGUUUCAAUUCCCGGCCGAUGCA